GGCAGGGAAGGAAUGCCGAUCAGGCAGAAGAGUGGCAGGAAAGGGUUCUCUGCUCAAUGCCCAUAGAGAUGGAGUCAGCCAGGCCUCGGGUGAGAUGCAGGGUCAUUCAAAAGCCCAGAACGUGCUCGGGUCAAUUGCCAGGGAGGAAACUGAGGCCCAGAGAGGGGAGUGACUGACUCGUUAAAGAUGGCAGAGCGAGGGCUGGCAGAGUGGGGCUCUGUGGGGUAGUUCCCCCUAGAUACCAAGCUCUGAGGAGCAUGUGGGGAACGAGCUGACGGCCUCCACGCUCAGCAGGAGAGCUCACGCCAUCUCCCUGGCCUCCCCUUGGUCUCUUCAGGUGCACCGGGGCAUCAAAGGUGUGGUGACAGAUAAAUUCGGCAAGCCAGUCAAAAACGCCCGGAUCUCAGUCAAAGGCAUUCGCCACGACAUCACCACAGCCCCAGAUGGUGACUACUGGAGACUGCUGCCCCCAGGUAUCCACAUUGUCAUUGCCCAAGCCCCUGGCUACGCCAAAGUCAUCAAGAAAGUCAUCAUCCCCGCCCGGAUGAAGAGGGCUGGCCGUGUGGACUUCAUUCUGCAACCUCUGGGGAUGGGACCCAAGAACUUUAUUCAUGGGCUGCGGAGGACUGGGCCCCACGACCCACUGGGAGGUGCCAGCUCUUU
rnacentral:lncRNA from 10 species